rnacentral:rRNA from 1 species
UUCUAUUACACUAAUUAAUAGUAAGGCCUGCUCAAUGAUAUUAAAUAGCCGCAAUUAUUUGUGCUAAGGUAGCAUAAUCACUUGUUUUUUAAUUAAAAACUAGAACAAACGGCUAAACAAUUUAAUUACUAUCAAACUUUAACUUUUUAAAUUAUUUUAAAUGUUAAAAAACAUUUAUAGAUAAGAAAGACGACAAGACCCUAUUGAACUUAACUAUAGUUAAACUGGGGCAGUAAAUUAAGUAUUAUUUUAAUAUUUAUAAUUAUAUAAAUAUACCUAAUACAAUUAAAUUAUCAAGUUACCAUAGGGAUAACAGCGUAAUAAAUAUUUAUAGUUCUUAUCAAAAUAAUAACUUGCGACCUCGAUGUUGAAUAAUAACCUACAUUAAGCAGCUUUAAUGAAAGGAAGUCUGUUCGACUUUUAAAAAAUUACA